AACGAACGCUGGCGGCAGGCUUAACGCAUGCAAGUCGAACGCAUCCUUCGGGGUGAGUGGCAGACGGGUGAGUAACGCGUGGGAACGUGCCCUUCAGUUCGGGAUAACCCAGGGAAACUUGGGCUAAUACCGGAUACGUGCGAGAGCAGAAAGAUUUAUCGCUGAAGGAUCGGCCCGCGUCUGAUUAGCUAGUUGGUGGGGUAAUGGCCCACCAAGGCGACGAUCAGUAGCUGGUCUGAGAGGAUGAUCAGCCACAUUGGGACUGAGACACGGCGCAAACUCCUACGGGAGGCAGCAGUGGGGAAUAUUGGACAAUGGGCGCAAGCCUGAUCCAGCCAUGCCGCGUGAGUGAUGAAGGCCUUAGGGUUGUAAAGCUCUUUCGUCCGGGACGAUAAUGACGGUACCGGAAGAAGAAGCCCCGGCUAACUUCGUGCCAGCCGCCGCGGUAA
rnacentral:rRNA from 1 species